rnacentral:rRNA from 1 species
AUGGCCGGCGCCGAAGGGCUUCCCGACGACCUCCUCGGGGCGAUCUACCACCGCUGCUCCUCGCCGUACGACCGCGCGCGCUUCGCUUCUGUCUGCAGGUCGUGGCGCGCCGCUGCGUUGGCAUGGCACACGCCGCUGCCAGCUCUCCCGCUGCUCCUCCCAUCGACGGGCAACGGCCAGUGCGACCGGAUGACUCGGGCAUACAGCCCUGAGGAUGGCAGGGUCCUGGGCGCUCCGCUGCCAUACUUCCCUUAUGGCAAGAGGAUCGUGGGGUGCCAUGACGGCGGCUGGGUUGCCGCCACCAUUGGCUGCAGGGUUGUGGUCGUGAACCUCUUCACUCGUGCCCGGUUGAUGCAAAGGGACUUCAGAUGUAGAUGCCCAACCGCUCCAGGAAGGACCGACAAAAUCUCCCUCGACAAAGUCGUCUUCUCGGAUGACCCUGCCACAGAAGGCUGUAUCAUGGCCGCGAUAACGAGCAAGUGUACAAUACUGCUCUGCAGGCUUGACUGUAAGGGCGCCAAUGGGUGGAGCACGGGAGGAUGCGGCACGGCCAACAUUCCGAACCCUGUAGACAUCACCUUCUACAACGGAGAGCUCUACGGCCUCUCGUAUGCUGGAUUUUUACACAGGUUCACCAUCGACCGAAACAAGUAUGACCCUUACGUGGUCAAUUGGCACUGUGUCCAACAAGUAACCACGGAAAGGCCCAUCGGGCAUGGCGGCACCAAAUACAUCUUUGAGCUACGUGGCAACCUAGCCGUAGCAGUGCCAGUCAGCAUUUGCAAUGCUCAAACUUUUAAGGUGUUCGAGCUUGUCGCCUGUUGGGACAGUACAAAAGGGUCAUACUACACAUGGGUUGAGGUGACGAACUUGGGGGACCACGCCUUGUUCCUAGGGCCAGGAUGCUGCAAGGCGGUGCAUGUGUCAUCAAUGGGGGUCAUGCACGGUGUCGUACAAGCGAACCGUAUCUACUACUCAUGUCCCGGAAGCUGCGUGAACCAUUUUGCUACGUUGGAUCUAGGUAGUUGUAAAGUGUAUUGUUCAGGAAGUGACAACUUGCAAUACUCCGAUAGAAUUAUCUCAAAGGGAUACCAUUACUACACAUACGGUACUAGUUGGCAGAACAGUUGUACAUGGGUUCUCCCUCCAGACUUUUAG